UACGUAGGUGGCAAGCGUUGUCCGGAUUUACUGGGCGUAAAGAGCGCGCAGGCGGUCAGAUAAGUCGAAUGUGAAAGCCCCCGGCUCAACUGGGGAGGGUCAUUCGAUACUGUUCGACUCGAAGGCAGGAGAGGGAAGUGGAAUUCCCGGUGUAGUGGUGAAAUGCGUAGAUAUCGGGAGGAAUACCAGUGGCGCAAGCGGCGCCCUGGCCGUGACCUGACACUGAGCCACGACGGCGUGGGGAGCAAACGGG
rnacentral:rRNA from 1 species